GAUGAAGAACGCAGCGAACGUGCGAAACGUAAUGUGAAUUGCAGAAUUCAGUGAAUCAUCGAAUCUUUGAACGCACAUUGCGCCCCCUGGUAUUCCGGGGGGCAUGCCUGUUCGAGCGUCAUUUCACCACUCAAGCCUCGCUUGGUAUUGGGCAUCGCGGUCCGCCGCGUGCCUCAAAUCGACCGGCUGGGUCUUCUGUCCCCUAAGCGUUGUGGAAACUAUUCGCUAAAGGGUGUUCGGGAGGCUACGCCGUAAAACAACCCCAUUUCUAAGGUUGACCUCGGAUCAGGUAGGGAUACCCGCUGAACUUAAGCAUAUCAAUAAGCGGAGGA
rnacentral:misc_RNA from 1 species